rfam:Ipomoea nil DNA, scaffold: scaffold0751, cultivar: Tokyo-kokei standard.
GGAUGCGAUCAUACCAGCACUAAUGCACCGAUCCCAUCAGAACUCCGAAGUUAAGCGUGCUUGGGCGAGAGUAGUACUAGGAUGGGUGACCCCCUGGGAAGUCCUCGUGUUGCAUCCC